rnacentral:misc_RNA from 1 species
UACAGAGGGUGCAAGCGUUAAUCGGAAUUACUGGGCGUAAAGGGCGCGUAGGCGGAGCGUUCAGUCGGCUGUGAAAGCCCUGGGCUCAACCUGGGGAUUGCAUUCCAAACUGUCGGGCUGGAGUAUGGUAGAGGGAGGUAGAAUUUCCUGCGUAGCGGUGAAAUGCGUAGAUAUAGGAAGGAAUACCAGUGGCGAAGGCGGCCUCCUGGACCAAUACUGACGCUGAGGCGCGAAAGCGUGGGGAGCAAACAGG